rnacentral:lncRNA from 1 species
UUGUAUGGACUCAAGCCAAUAGGUGCUUUUAUUGCAAAUCAGAGGUCUAGAAUUUAUUGAAAGGUUGGCUUUCAAAUAAUGAACCUGCAAUAGUGGAUGCACUCCACAGCAAAUUAUUCCACUUGGACCUGGGGGAUACAUUGUGCCCUUUUCAUUCAAACAACACAUUUCUUGAUUUCUACCACAUUUAGGAUGGAUGGCACCUUGUGUGACCUGGAACAGUUCCAGGAAUGCUUGUCUCCAGUAGCAAAUCCCCCAGACAUUGCCAAACCCACACUAGAAUGCUCACAGCCUCCCUGCAAAAGGAAGUCAGUAACUUGUUGUUUCUUUCCAGCCUCAGACCAACAUGGGAAAUAACUCCAUCACUGUCACCAGAGAAAGUAUGUUGCAAAAUCCCCAGAGUAGUUUUUAUUUAAAAUGUUACUAUCAUAAAAUUCCAGACUAUGAAAUGAAGACCUUGGAUUCCCGUUCGACCUUACCCACCCCCUUUUUAAAAUAUAUAGAUACGUAGUCACAAACAUAAAACAUGCUGCAAUGAUACAAAUAUAUUUUUUGAUAUGGAAAUUACAGUACAUUAUAAACCAUGAAAACAAAUUGAGGCACUAGACUGUACAUCAGUUCUGUUCUGCACUGGCUGUGAAGCUGAUAGACUCACUUUCAAUGAACAAAAAGAAUAUUUUCUUCAUUUAGUGAACAUAACUUUAUGGGUCAUAUCGAAUGAUGUGCUUUGUUGAGAGACAUCACCAGGGUUGCCGGUCCUUUUGGAACCACAACUCACCUACACAACAUGUAUCACUGCCACAAUAUGAAAAAUAAUCAUUUUAUUGAAUGUACAACUGAAAAAAAACAGAACAAAAACCAACCCAUCAGUUAUUAUUAAAUAAAUAAUUAUUCCGUACAGUGGUUAGUUUAUAUUACACUGCAUUGGCCAUUAGAACAAAUGAUGUUUAAUAAAUAAUGUACAGGGAUGUCUCAUUUACGCCUCCGUUCGUAAUUCUGUGCUAUGCUCCUUUCAGAGGAUCCUGCAAAAAAACGAAGCAGAAUGAAGCACAUGCAUCCCGCUUGCCCAUGAGGCCGAAGAACUGCUGGGGCCGGGGUCUCCGGGCCAUCCUCUGCAGGAAGUGCUCCAGGGGCAGCGGCAGCUCCUCCUGCGGGGCGACAGCGGCCGGCGCUCAGCGCGGACCCCCCCCGCAAGCCCCAGAGCCCGCGGAGCCCCCAGCCGCGCCCGACACCGGUCCCCGGGAGGCGCAGCGCCCGCCGAGGCUCACCUUCGCCUGGUCGCCGUCGGACCAGUCGGACCAGUAGCUGAGGUCGUCGGAGGCGCCCAUCUCCUCUGCCAGAGCCCGCGCCGAGGCCAGGAGGAGCACGGCGAAAGCCAGCGGGAGUCUCAUCGCCACCUCGACGUCCUGCGGGAGGGCGGGCGCUGCUCUCCGUGCGCAUU